rnacentral:rRNA from 1 species
CGGCGGACGGGUGAGUAAUGUCUGGGAAACUGCCUGAUGGAGGGGGAUAACUACUGGAAACGGUAGCUAAUACCGCAUAACGUCUACGGACCAAAGUGGGGGACCUUCGGGCCUCACGCCAUCAGAUGUGCCCAGAUGGGAUUAGCUAGUAGGUGGGGUAAUGGCUCACCUAGGCGACGAUCCCUAGCUGGUCUGAGAGGAUGACCAGCCACACUGGAACUGAGACACGGUCCAGACUCCUACGGGAGGCAGCAGUGGGGAAUAUUGCACAAUGGGCGCAAGCCUGAUGCAGCCAUGCCGCGUGUGUGAAGAAGGCCUUAGGGUUGUAAAGCACUUUCAGCGAGGAGGAAGGGUUCAGUGUUAAUAGCACUGUUCAUUGACGUUACUCGCAGAAGAAGCACCGGCUAACUCC